rnacentral:rRNA from 1 species
AUGCUUAGUACGGCGAGUGAAGCGGCAAAAGCUCAAAUUUGAAAUCUGGUACCUUCGGUGCCCGAGUUGUAAUUUGGAGAGGGCAACUUUGGGGCCGUUCCUUGUCUAUGUUCCUUGGAACAGGACGUCAUAGAGGGUGAGAAUCCCGUGUGGCGAGGAGUGCGGUUCUUUGUAAAGUGCCUUCGAAGAGUCGAGUUGUUUGGGAAUGCAGCUCUAAGUGGGUGGUAAAUUCCAUCUAAAGCUAAAUAUUGGCGAGAGACCGAUAGCGAACAAGUACAGUGAUGGAAAGAUGAAAAGAACUUUGAAAAGAGAGUGAAAAAGUACGUGAAAUUGUUGAAAGGGAAGGGCAUUUGAUCAGACAUGGUGUUUUGUGCCCUCUGCUCCUUGUGGGUAGGGGAAUCUCGCAUUUCACUGGGCCAGCAUCAGUUUUGGUGGCAGGAUAAAUCCAUAGGAAUGUAGCUUGCCUCGGUAAGUAUUAUAGCCUGUGGGAAUACUGCCAGCUGGGACUGAGGACUGCGACGUAAGUCAAGGAUGCUGGCAUAAUGGUUAUAUGCCGCCCGUCUUGAACA